UUAGAAUCGUAUCAGGUGCAG
rnacentral:siRNA from 1 species